rnacentral:rRNA from 1 species
UACGUAGGGUGCAAGCGUUAAUCGGAAUUACUGGGCGUAAAGCGUGCGCAGGCGGUUGUGCAAGACAGAUGUGAAAUCCCCGGGCUUAACCUGGGAACUGCAUUUGUGACUGCACGGCUAGAGUACGGUAGAGGGGGAUGGAAUUCCGCGUGUAGCAGUGAAAUGCGUAGAUAUGCGGAGGAACACCGAUGGCGAAGGCAAUCCCCUGGGCCUGCACUGACGCUCAUGCACGAAAGCGUGGGGAGCAAACAGG